CCUACGGGGUGCAGCAGUCGAGAAUCAUUCACAAUGGGGGAAACCCUGAUGGUGCGACGCCGCGUGGGGGAAUGAAGGUCUUCGGAUUGAAAACCCUUGUCAUGUGGGAGCAAAUUACAAAGAUAGUACCACAAGAGGAAGCGACGGCUAACUCGGUGCCAGCAGCCGCGGUAAUACAGAGGUCUCAAGCGUUGUUCGGAAUCACUGGGCGUAAAGCGUGCGUAGGCUGUUUCGUAAGUCGUGUGUGAAAGGCGCGGGCUCAACCCGCGGACGGCACAGGAUACUGCGAGACUAGAGUAAUGGAGGGGGAGCCGGAAUUCUCGGUGUAGCAGUGAAAUGCGUAGAU
rnacentral:rRNA from 1 species